rnacentral:sRNA from 1 species
UAUGUCUCCUCUCCCUCCCCCAACUGCCAACUGCCAAACACCCGCUCUUGAUCGCUCCAUAAUCUCAUGUGAUCGAUCAAUAUCCGAUUUUAUAACAAGAAAGACAAGAAGCAGUGGGCUUCGAAGCGUGAGCGUAGAGAACCUCCCGAUAUAGAGGCUUAUCUAUCUAUCUAUCGAUUGUAAAAAAAUUAAAAAAAAAAAAAAAAAAAUACGGCGGGGGGGAAUCUCAUGGGAAUUAUGGAGAAGCCAAACGGGACAUAAUAUAAUAUAAUAAAAACGGUUCCCGGUAGCGGGUGAAAAUAGAUUAGAAUUAUAGGUUAUAGGGUAUAGAAAGUGUUCUAGGGACAAUAACGAGGUAGGCAUGUUUUAUCUGUCUGGCUGUAGUGCAUAACAAAAAAGGAGCGUGGGGCGGGUAUCUCUAGCAAAGCAGCAACAAUUCUAUAAAGGAGCGUCAUUCAUCGUCCCGACAUGAUCGGUCGUUGCAUGGAGUAAUAUAAUAAUGGUUAGCGAAAUGGUAGGAAAACAAGGGAAACAGGGAAACAUCGGUGAAAGUCCUCUAAAAAUUGCCAAGGGUUGCAGUGGUGCACGAAGCCACUGAUCAUGGCAAGCGAGAAGUCAAGGAAAGGACCGAAAAGAAAUAGGACAUGUCGGGUAAAUUAGAUUGUACAUGUACAUCGAAGGGGAAAGAGGGGGGCCAAUUUGAUUCAACAAAUGCCCAGACAACGAAAACGGGUCCUUUAUGUUAAUGAGGAAAUAAUGGUAAUAGGAGCAAUAGUAAUAAAAACAAACGGGGAACGGCAAUGAUGCUACAAAGGAUCAACAGUAGUCUCAUCGACGUCUGUCAGGCUUUUAUGCUCGGGGAGAACAAAUCUUGUAAGAACUUAAAGAGCGUUCGCUUCCGUAACGAUUUGCCCGAGGGAUAUGAAGACUGUUGCAGAACUGGCGCCACGGACAUUGGACCAACAAUAUCCUCAUCGCCACGGUCGGGGAAUUUGCUCUUGUCGUCCAGGUGGGGGAUUUUGAUGGCUUCGACGGGGUGGAUGUCCGGCUUGUGUAGCAAGCUGACGGGAUUGCCUUUGCCAUCCUCCAGACUCGUGACGAGUUGGUUGUGGUUCUCUCGCCACCGAGCCUCCACCGAAUCCCAUUUCUCCUCUGUGAGCCGGUAGAUGUUGGACGUUGCGCCGUAAUGCUCUGAAAUGCGAGUGAGGUGUUUCGCAUAGUUGUAGCGGGCAAGUUCCCAGUUGUUCCAGUGCUCGUCAAAAGCCUCGACCGUUCGAGCAGCGGGGAGGUAGGGUUCAGGUCGGAUGGUGAAAUUCGCAUGGCCCAGCUUGUCGGACCACUCAUCGUCCGUAUCCGGCAUUGCAACCGGGG